CUACGGGUCGCAGCAGUGAGGAAUAUUGCACAAUGGGGGGAACCCUGAUGCAGCAACGCCGCGUGGAGGAUGACGCAUUUCGGUGUGUAAACUCCUUUUAUAUGUCAAGAAAAUGACGGUAGCAUAUGAAUAAGCACCGGCUAACUCCGUGCCAGCAGCCGCGGUAAUACGGAGGGUGCAAGCGUUACUCGGAAUCACUGGGCGUAAAGGACGCGUAGGCGGGUUGGAAAGUCAGGUGUGAAAUCCUACAGCUUAACUGUAGAACUGCACUUGAAACUUCUAAUCUAGAGUAUGGGAGGGGGAGAUGGAAUUAGUGGUGUAGGGGUAAAAUCCGUAGAUAUCACCAGGAAUACCUAAAGCGAAGGCGAUCUCCUGGAACAUUACUGACGCUAAGGCGUGAAAGCGUGGGGAGCAAACAGGAUUAGAUACCCGUGUAGUC
rnacentral:rRNA from 1 species